rnacentral:rRNA from 1 species
GUCUACAGCCAUGCCACCCUGAACAAGCCCGAUGUCUGAUCUCAGAUGCUAAGCAGAGUCGGGCCUGGUGAGUACUUGGAUGCGAGACCACCUAGGAAGAGCAGGUGCUGCAGGCA